rnacentral:misc_RNA from 1 species
UUCUCCUUGUCAUGUCCUAUAACCACAUUAGACUCUUUUGUAAGCUCAUCCUUCUCUUUGCCACCAAGAAUCAAAAUUGAUUCUUUGGCAUUCAUAUUCAUCGGCUCCAAGUAAGUUAUCUCAGUUUCAGCAUUGUCAAUCUUCUCAUUGUUCAUCUUUACUUGCAUAUUUUCUUUCCCCUCUUCACACAAAAUACUCAUAUCAAAUUCUUUUAAAAAUUGUUUCUUCUCUUCACCACCAAGAAUCCAAAUUGCUUGUUCAUCAUUCACCAUCAUUGUUUCUGAGGAAGCUAUAUCAAUUUCAACAUUGCUACUCUUACCAUUAUCCACCUCUUCCAUCCUAUGUUCUUUCUCCAUUUCACCUUCAAUA